rnacentral:tRNA from 1 species
GGGAAGGUGGCUCAGUGGUAGAGUACUUGCCUUGCAUGCAUGAGGCCCUGGGUUCAAUUCCUCAGUGCCA